CGAACGGGUGAGUAACGCGUGAGGAACCUGCCUCAAAGGGGGGGACAACAGUUGGAAACGACUGCUAAUACCGCAUAAGCCCACGGCUCGGCAUCGAGCAGAGGGAAAAGGAGUGAUCCGCUUUGAGAUGGCCUCGCGUCCGAUUAGCUAGUUGGUGAGGUAACGGCCCACCAAGGCGACGAUCGGUAGCCGGACUGAGAGGUUGAACGGCCACAUUGGGACUGAGACACGGCCCAG
rnacentral:rRNA from 1 species